GAAGAGCCAGGCUUUAGGAAACAAGGAGCUGCUUCUCACCACAAAGGGUCAGGAGACACUGGGAUGUAAACCUCUGCUUCUCCCUAUGCCUGUGUGGAGUGCUGUGUGUUACUCUGAGUAAACCUUUUGAAAAGAGCCGGCCUGUUGCCACCAUGCUGAAGUUUCUGUAACUGAGAUGCAGCUGUGAAAUGAAUGGCCAAGAUGAAGGCAUUCAAGUGCCUCAAGGGCCACUCUGAAGUAGAAGAGAAAAGUAAACCGUGAAUAACCAGGAAAAAGAGAGAAAAAAAUAACCCAGAUGGAAGAAUACAGCUUGCAGUGAGGAUGUCUCUGUGACACCAGCUGAUGGCUUUGCUUGCUUAGAAAGAGAAGAAAGAACACAAUUAGAAGAAACUACACAACUUCGUAAAGUCAAAGCCUUUCCACCCCUUGUCUUCCCCUCCAAGUCAGUAAGAUUCUGCAUUAGAAAAGCACCACCGUUCACAAACUUACCAAGGGCUAAGAUUUACAGUUUUUAGACAAGAAGUGAAAUUAUGACCAAGUCUGACCCAUGGCUCCAGAGACAGGUGUCUCCUUCCUUUCGCUACGGGGAGUUUAAAAAGUCACACAAUUUCCGCUGACAUUUUUCUCCAUACGUAACAGGAGAUAAUUUCCUUCCUUCCUUUCUUUGUUUUGUUACUAGAGUCUUGACCUGGCAAAAAGCUCAAAUAUUUGAAGUUAUUACAUGGCAUACAAAAUAAAUAUAUCUGCUUUUGGAUGAUACAACACAAGAUUACUUCUUUGAUAAAAUUCUCCCUCACACUGUGUAUGUAGGUAUUCCAGAAGGCUGGCCUCUGAAACACAGGGCUUGAGACAUGACAGUUCUGUGUAGUGCAAAUUCUGCAAAUAAAACAGCCAGAAGAAAAUUCUCAAGAAAGUAUUUUAACUUUACACUUUCAGGGAACUCUAAUUAGGGCUUGCAUAACAUGUGAAGACCUUUCAAAGACUAAGUUUUUAUCUGUG
ensembl:lncRNA